AGUGAACGCUGGCGAUAGGCCUAACACAUGCAAGUCGAACGGCAGCACAGUAAGAGCUUGCUCUUACGGGUGGCGAGUGGCGGACGGGUGAGGAAUACAUCGGAAUCUACUUUUUCGUGGGGGAUAACGUAGGGAAACUUACGCUAAUACCGCAUACGACCUACGGGUGAAAGCAGGGGAUCUUCGGACCUUGCGCGAUUGAAUGAGCCGAUGUCGGAUUAGCUAGUUGGCGGGGUAAAGGCCCACCAAGGCGACGAUCCGUAGCUGGUCUGAGAGGAUGAUCAGCCACACUGGAACUGAGACACGGUCCAGACUCCUACGGGAGGCAGCAGUGGGGAAUAUUGGACAAAGGGCGCAAGCCUGAUCCAGCCAUACCGCGUGGGUGAAGAAGGCCUUCGGGUUGUAAAGCCCUUUUGUUGGGAAAGAAAAGCAGCAGGUUAAUACCCCGCUGUUCUGACGUUACCCAAAGAAUAAGCACCGGCUAACUUCGUG
rnacentral:rRNA from 1 species